rnacentral:rRNA from 1 species
ACGAGCGCAACCCCUAUCGUUAGUUGCUAGCAGGUAAUGCUGAGGACUCUAACGAGACUGCCGGUGUAAACCGUGAGGAAGGUGGGGAUGACGUCAAAUCAGCACGGCCCUUAUGCUCUGGGCUACACACGUGUUACAAUGGAUGGUACAAAGAGCAGCUACCUAGUGAUAGGAUGCNAAUCUUCAAAGCCAUUCCCAGUUCGGAUUGGAGUCUGCAACUCGACUCCAUGAAGUUGGAUUCGCUAGUAAUCGUAGAUCAGCAACGCUACGGUGAAUACGUUCCCGGGCCUUGCACACACCGCCCGU